GGAUUUCCCUAGUAACGGCGAGUGAACAGGAAAAAGCCCAGCACCGAAGCCUGUGGCCAUUUGGUUACUAGGCAAUGUGGUGUUUAGGUCGUUCCGCAGAAGUUCUGCUCCACCCCAAGUCCGUCAAUGAGUACGGUAGUAUUGACAUGGCCCACAGAGGGUGAAAGGCCCGUGGGGGUGGAGACUCGACAGGACAGAGCUUCUCUGGGUAGACCUUGGAGUCGGGUUGUUUGUGAAUGCAGCCCAAAGUGGGUGGUAAACUCCAUCCAAGGCUAAAUACUAGCACGAGUCCGAUAGCGAACAAGUACCGUGAGGGAAAGUUGAAAAGUACUUUGAAGAGAGAGUAAACAGUGCGUGAAACCGCUCAGAGGUAAACGGGUGGAGUUGAACUGCAAGCUUUGAGAAUUCAGCUGAUGAGUUUUUUUUGAGCUGGGUCAAGUUGGUGAAUUCUGGGGUCUGCGUAUAAGCAGGUUUCCAUCCUCGGGUGGUAAUGUGUGAAACACUUAUCAUGUGUUACACGCCCUGGUUUUUUCGGCCAACUCGUCAGUGCACUUUCUCAGAGUAGUCACCACGACCGGCAUAUCUUCCUGGCGAACACGGUUAAACCGGGCUUACAUUGUCCUCACGGCUUUGUUUGUUCGGGAUGGCAGGUAGCUCGUUGACUUGUCUGUAGCUUGCUGCAGGCGCUCGGUCUUCGAGUGUAAUCAGCUGACCGUGCUAGACUUGUGUAGUAUGUCGGAGACAGCGGCUUGUGGUGUGUGCAUGCGUAUUUGUUUACUGACUUACCCGGGUUUGGUUAUUUAGUUGCCUGUAAAAGCAGGCCUGGUGAUGGCUCGGGUAUGUUCGGUAGAUGUUUGCGUGUGUGGCACUGUUUCAAGGGCCAAUAGUCUGUGGUGUAGUGGUAGACUUCCACCUGACCCGUCUUGAAACACGGACCAAGGAGAGUAACAUGUGCGCGAGUCAUUGGGCGUUACGAAACCCAAAGGCGCAGUGAAAGUAAAGAUCUGACUUGUUCAGAUUGAGGUGAGAUCCUGUCGUUUCUCACGCAUGGUACUACCCAGCAUCGAGCGGCAGGCGCAUCACCGGCCCGUCCCAUGGCAGUUGUUUUCGAACAGUUUCAGUCGGGGCGGAGCAUGAGCGUACAUGUUGAGACCCGAAAGAUGGUGAACUAUGCUUGCGCAGGUUGAAGCCAGAGGAAACUCUGGUGGAGGACCGCAGCGAUUCUGACGUGCAAAUCGAUCGUCAAACGUGAGUAUAGGGGCGAAAGACUAAUCGAA
rnacentral:rRNA from 1 species